UACGAAGGGGGCUAGCGUUGCUCGGAAUCACUGGGCGUAAAGGGUGCGUAGGCGGAUUCUUAAGUCAGGGGUGAAAUCCUGGAGCUCAACUCCAGAACUGCCUUUGAUACUGGGAGGCUCGAGUCCGGGAGAGGUGAGUGGAACUGCGAGUGUAGAGGUGAAAUUCGUAGAUAUUCGCAAGAACACCAGUGGCGAAGGCGGCUCACUGGCCCGGUACUGACGCUGAGGUGCGAAAGCGUGGGGAGCAAACAGG
rnacentral:rRNA from 1 species